rnacentral:rRNA from 1 species
AUUGAACGCUGGCGGCGUGCUUAACACAUGCAAGUCGAUCGGUAACGCGGGGGCAACCCUGGCGACGAGAGGCGGACGGGUGAGGAACGCUUGGGAAUCUGCCUAUCAGCGGGGGACAACCCGGGGAAACUCGGGCUAAUACCGCAUACGCUCUACGGAGGAAAGCCGGGGACCGCAAGGCCUGGCACUGAUAGAUGAGCCCAAGUCGGAUUAGCUAGUUGGCGGGGUAACGGCCCACCAAGGCGGCGAUCCGUAGCUGGUCUGAGAGGACGAUCUGCCACACUGGGACUGAGAUACGGCCCAGACUCCGCCGGUAGGCUGCAGUCGAGGAUCAUUCGCAAUGGGGGAAACCCUGACGAUGCGACGCUGCGUGGAGGAUGAAGGCCCUCGGGUUGUAAACUCCUGUCAUGGGGGAAUAGGAGAGCGUCACUAACACUGACGCGAUUUGACGGUACCCCAAGAGGAAGCCACGGCUAACUCUGUGCCAGCAGCCGCCGUAAUAC